GAUGAAGAACGUAGCGAAAUGCGAUACGUAAUGUGAAUUGCAAAUUCAGUGAAUCAUCGAGUCUUUGAACGCACAUUGCGCCCCCUGGUAUUCCGGGGGGCAUGCCUGUCCGAGCGUCAUUGCUGCCCUCAAGCACGGCUUGUGUGUUGGGCCCCGUCCUCCGAUCCCGGGGGACGGGCCCGAAAGGCAGCGGCGGCAUCGCGUCCGGUCCUCGAGCGUAUGGGGCUUUGUCACCCGCUCUGUAGGCCCGGCCGGCGCUUGCCGAUCAACCCAAAUUUUCAUCCAGGUUGACCUCGGAUCAGGUAGGGAUACCCGCUGAACUUAAGCAUAUCAAUAAGCGGAGGA
rnacentral:misc_RNA from 1 species